CAGUGGGGAAUUUUGGACAAUGGGGGAAACCCUGAUCCAGCCAUCCCGCGUGUGCGAUGAAGGCCUUCGGGUUGUAAAGCACUUUUGGCAGGGAAGAAACAGCCUGGGCUAAUAUCCCGGGCGACUGACGGUACCUGCAGAAUAAGCACCGGCUAACUACGUGCCAGCAGCCGCGGUAAUACGUAGGGUGCAAGCGUUAAUCGGAAUUACUGGGCGUAAAGCGUGCGCAGGCGGUUCGGAAAGAAAGGUGUGAAAUCCCAGGGCUUAACCUUGGAACUGCACUUUUAACUACCGGGCUAGAGUACGUCAGAGGGGGGUAGAAUUCCACGUGUAGCAGUGAAAUGCGUAGAGAUGUGGAGGAAUACCGAUGGCGAAGGCAGCCCCCUGGGAUGAUACUGACGCUCAUGCACGAAAGCGUGGGGAGCAAACAGGAUUAGA
rnacentral:rRNA from 1 species